rnacentral:rRNA from 1 species
AACGAACGCUGGCGGCAGGCUUAACACAUGCAAGUCGAGCGCCCCGCAAGGGGAGCGGCAGACGGGUGAGUAACGCGUGGGAACGUACCCUUUGGUUCGGAAUAGCUCCGGGAAACUGGAAUUAAUACCGGAUGAGCCCUACGGGGGAAAGAUUUAUCGCCGCAAGGAUCGGCCCGCGUUUGAUUAGCUAGUUGGUGGGGUAACGGCCUACCAAGGCGACGAUCCAUAGAUGGUCUGAGAGGAUGAUCAGCCACACUGGGACUGAGACACGGCCAAGACUCCUACGGGGGGCAGCAUAGGGGAAUGUUGGACAAUGGGCGAAAGUCUGAUCCUGCCAUGCCGCGUGAGUGAUGAAGGCCUUAGGGUUGUAAAGCUCUUUCAGUGGGGAAGAUAAUGACGGUACCCACAGAAGAAGCCCCGGCUAACUUCGUGCCAGCCGCCGCCGUAAUAC